rnacentral:lncRNA from 1 species
CGCGCAGGGAGCUUCCCCAGGUCACCUCCUCUACUCCUCACCAGGGUCCAUUGAGGCGGGGCCUGCCUUAUCCCCAUGGUGCAGAUUAGGAGCCGAGGCCCGGGAGCUCGAGGGACCUGCAGAAGGCCACGCGGCUGGAAGGGGUGGAGGAGGCUGGGGACCCAGGCCCCUGAGCCUCCUGUGCUCUAUUGCCUCUAAGAGCCUCCUGCUCUGUAAUCUGACAUCCUUUUCCCCACCUCUUCCAGCGAAGGCCCCGGGGAGCCGCCUCUUCAUCCACUCACAGGUCACUCCCUUCUUAGCUGGAACCUGGACCCUGGCUCAACUUGAAUUCCUUGGCCUCCCACUGGUUUCUCUCUGGAGCUGCAUUUUUCAACCUAGAUAGAAAUGAGGUGUGGGGAGGUAAAAAGGAAGUGACCUGUCCCACAGUGAAUCUGCAGAAAAGCCAGUGAAGACCAGGUGGAUGAAAAUGAGGCUGGGGCCAUGCCCAUGGGGAGAUGUUGGACGAUGCUUGAGUGCAAGAUGGCAGCAGGCCGGGAGAGGCCCAGAAGAGAACUCACCACGCCGUGGGGGUGAGUAGCGGGAGGGACAGCAGCAUGUGCAUCCCCCAAAGGCCUCCAGUUUGUUUGUAAAGUCUCAGGCAGGAAUCUGCCCUUGUGAUCCUGAGGCCUCAUGUUUCAGGGCUCAAAGCUGGCCCUGGGGACAGGAGGUGGCAACUGGUGUCUGACCCCCUAAACCUGGUGCCUCCACUGAUCAACAGACCAGAUAAGGGACAGGUCACCCCCUGACCUUAGGGCCUUGAGGCCCAGGGCGGGGAGUGGGUGGUGGUGCUGCAGUUAGAGGAUCCCAUUCUCAGGACAGUAAACCCUCGAAAGAACUUCUCACCCACUAUUUUCCAAGCUUUAGUCACUUGCAUUCUGCUUUCAUAAUGUUGACCAUUUCCAAGUUCCCUUGUAUUUUUAAACUUAAAAUAAAGUGC